GGUCUGUCUCCCCGCACUCCAGCUCCUCUCUUUCCCUUUUAAAAGAGACUCAGGCUGACAGAGAUGGUUCGGCGAGCAACCCCGACCCCUUCCGCUUGGGCCAUGAACAGCUGAGCGAGAGUGAACCCCAAAAGGUGGGAGAAGAGUCGAAGAGGCGAAAAGAAGCCCAAGCUAGGAUUCAGAGAGGUUAAGUAAUUGGUGUGAGUUGGCUGGAAGAGAGGGAGAACUUAAAAAGAUUUUUAUACUGGAAAUAUAUACAUAUCAAAUGACUGAAGACAGAUGGAGAGCUUUUCUUAUAUGGGAUUGAAAUCUGCACGUGUCUACCAAGCUCCCAGGAGAUGCCAGUGCUGCUGGUCUGAGGACCAUACUUUGAGGACUCAGGGGCACUAUUUUAUGCUCCUACCUUCAGAGGGAAACGGUGUAUAGCAGAGACAAAGGAAUCUUUUAUUGAGUUCUGAGUUUCAAAAGUUUAGGUCUUUGGGGGAAAAGGGAAGAGCUUAGGAAAAAAUGUAAAGAUUGGAGAGAAGUCAUGAUACAAUUGGACUGGAUUGCAAAGAAAAUCAGUGUCCCUAAGGAGACCCCUUCUCCCUCCUACCCUCUCCCCACCCCCUGGUUGGGAGAAGCAGAACUCCAAGAGAAAUGUGGGGAAUCUGUGGGGAGUUAUAAGAUUCAUUCAUGCCAGCAGAGCCAAGAGACUGGUGGAGAAAACUUCUGUAUUCAACAUGAUUUGUAGGAAGUAAGAAGACAGGGGAAGAAGCUUUUCAGAAUAUGGAGAGAAUUGGCGACACCAGUAGAGUGAAAAGAGGACCGAAAGAUGGGGCAAAGUUCUCAGAAGACAGAGCAGAAUGACUGUCUCCUAAAGAAAGGAUUACCUUAACAUUUUAAAAGAAAUCUUCAGGGGCUUCCCUGGUGGCGCAGUGGUUAAGAAUCCGCCUGCCAGUGCAGGGGACACGGGUUCGAUCCCUGGCCCGGGAAGAUCCCACAUGCCGCGGAGCAACUAAGCCCGUGUGCCACAACUACUGAGCCUGCGCUCUAGAGCCCGUGAGCCACAACUACUGAGCCCACGUGCUACAACUGCUGAAGCCCGUGUGCCACAACUACUGAAGCCUGCAUGCCUAGAGCCUGUGCUCCACAACAAGAGAAGCCACCGCAAUAAGAAGCCCGCGCACCGCAACCAAGAGUAGCCCCCACUCGCUGCAACUAGAGAAAGCCUGCGCACAGCAACAAAGACCCGAUG